AUCGAACGCUGGCGGCAGGCCUAACACAUGCAAGUCGAGCGGAGCGGCGGACGGGUGAGUAAUGCCUAGUAAUCUGCCUGGUAGUGGGGGAUAACGUCCGGACACGGGCGCUAAUACCGCAUACUAUCAGAUGAGCCUAGGGCGGAUUAGCUAGUUGGUGGCGUAAAGGCCUACCAAGGCGACGAUCCGUCACUGGCCUGAGAGGAUGAUCAGUCACACUGGAACUGAGACACGGGCCAGACUCCUACGGGAGGGAGCAGUGGGGAAUAUUGGGCAAUGGGCGAAAGCCUGAUCCAGCCAUGCCGCGUGUGUGAAGAAGGUCUUCGGAUUGUAAAGCUCUUUAAGUUGGGAGGCGUUACCUACAGAAUAAGCACCGGCUAACUACGUGCCAGCAGCCGCGGUAAUAC
rnacentral:rRNA from 1 species